UAGAGUUUGAUCUCGGCUCAGGAUGACGCUGGCGGCGUGCCUAACACAUGCAGUCGAACGAAGCACUUCUGGUCGGAGAUUCGUCGAAGAUCGGAUUUGACUUAGUGGCGGACGGGUGAGUAAUGUGUGAGCAACCUGCCUUUCAGAGGGGGACAACAGUUGGAAACGACUGCUAAUACCGCGUAAUGUACGCGAGGGGCAUCCCUUACGUACCAAAGGAGCAAUCCGCUGAAAGAUGGGCUCACAUCUGAUUAGCUGGUUGGCAGGGUAACGGCCUACCAAGGCUUCGAUCAGUAGCCGGACUGAGAGGUUGAACGGCCACAUUGGGACUGAGAUACGGCCCAGACUCCUACGGGAGGCAGCAGUGGGGAAUAUUGGGCAAUGGGCGAAAGCCUGACCCAGCAACGCCGCGUGAAGGAGAACUCUUCGGAUUGUAAACUUCUUUUAUGAGGGACGAAGACGUGACGGUACCUCAUGAUAAGCACGGCUAACUACGUGCCAGCAGCCGCGGUAAUACGUAGUGCGAGCGUAUCGGAUUACUGGUGUAAAGGCGCGUAGCGGGAUGCAGUCAAUGUGAAUCUAUGGGCUACCCAUAACUGCAUUGAACU
rnacentral:rRNA from 1 species